GAGAGAGACAUGCGCGCAUAUCAAUAAGCGGAGGAAAAGAAACUAACAAGGAUUCCCUUAGUAACGGCGAGUGAAGCGGGAAGAGCUCAAAUUUGAAAUCUUCAAGGUUCUACCUUGACGAAUUGUAGUUUAUAGAAGUGUUUUCUGUUAGUGGAGUGGCAAAAGUUCUUUGGAAUAGGACAUCAUAGAGGGUGAGAAUCCCGUAUUUGGUCAUUCCUCCUAGCGUUGUGAUACACUUUCAACGAGUCGGAUUGUUUGGGAAUGCAGUCCAAAAUGGGUGGUAAAUUUCAUCUAAAGCUAAAUAUUGGCGAGAGACCGAUAGCGAACAAGUACCGUGAGGGAAAGAUGAAAAGAACUUUGAAAAGAGAGUUAAACAGUACGUGAAAUUGUCAAAAGGGAAGCGUUUGACACCAGUGUUGUUUUUUCCGAAAAUCAAUUACGAAUGUUUUAUUUUUUGAGGAGUUAUGACUUCAUCGGCUUGCUCCUUUCUUUAUCGAAACUUUCUUAAUGCACUUUUCGGUUAACAAGUCAACAUCAAUUUCUUUUGUUGUAAAAGGGUAUGAGGAAGGUGGCUUUCUUUUCGGAGAAAGUGUUUAUAGCCUUGUGCCUCUGCAAGUCGGAGAGAUUGAGGUCUGCAGCGUAGAUCCUUCGGGGUUAGAUACGUUUGUGCUAAGUUAUAGCUCUUUCAUAGACAACUUGUUGACUAUGUUUAGUCUUGUAGCUUACUCGCUGACGCUAUUUUACCUACGCUUAGGAUGUUGAUAGUCACAGCGUGUAC
rnacentral:rRNA from 1 species